rnacentral:rRNA from 1 species
GCUCAGGACGAACGCUGGCGGCAUGCCUAAUACAUGCAAGUCGAGCGGACUUGAAGAGAAGCUUGCUUCUYUGAURGUUAGCGGCGGACGGGUGAGUAACACGUAGGCAACCUGCCCUCAAGUUUGGGACAACUACCGGAAACGGUAGCUAAUACCGAAUAAUUGUUUUCUUCGCCUGAAGRRAACUGGAAAGACGGAGCAAUCUGUCACUUGGGGAUGGGCCUGCGGCGCAUUAGCUAGUUGGUGAGGUAACGGCUCACCAAGGCGACGAUGCGUAGCCGACCUGAGAGGGUGAUCGGCCACACUGGGACUGAGACACGGCCCAGACUCCUACGGGAGGCAGCAGUAGGGAAUCUUCCGCAAUGGGCGAAAGCCUGACGGAGCAAUGCCGCGUGAGUGAUGAAGGUUUUCGGAUCGUAAAGCUCUGUUGCCAGGGAAGAACGCUUGGGAGAGUAACUGCU